GACGAACGCUGGCGGCGUGCCUAAUACAUGCAAGUAGAACGCUGAGGACUGGUGCUUGCACCGGUUCAAGGAGUUGCGGACGGGUGAGUAACGCGUAAGAACCUGCCCUUGGGAGGGGAACAACAGCUGGAAACGGCUGCUAAUACCCCAUAGGCUGAGGAGCAAAAGGAGGAAUCCGCCCAAGGAGGGGCUCGCGUCUGAUUAGUUAGUUGGUGAGGCAAUGGCUUACCAAGGCGACGAUCAGUAGCUGGUCCGAGAGGAUGAUCAGCCACACUGGGACUGAGACACGGCCCAG
rnacentral:rRNA from 1 species